ACGUAGGGUGCAAGCGUUAAUCGGAAUCACUGGGCGUAAAGCGCGCGCAGGCGGGUGGGUAAGUCAGAGGUGAAAUCCCCGGGCUUAACCUGGGAACUGCAUUUGUGACUGCCUAGCUAGAGUAUGUCAGAGGGGGGUGGAAUUCCACGUGUAGCAGUGAAAUGCGUAGAGAUGUGGAGGAACACCGAUGGCGAAGGCAGCCCCCUGGGUCAACACUGACGCUCAUGCACGAAAGCGUGGGGAGCAAACGG
rnacentral:rRNA from 1 species